AGCACAAGGCCAGCCUGAACGACAUAGUGAGACCCUGUCUCAAAAAGACAAAAAAAAAAGAAAGAAAAUGAGGGGUGAAAGUGUAAGGGAAGAACUAUGUAGAGCAAAUUUGGACCAAACAAAGAAAAAAGGAUAAAAAGUAACAAAAGUGCACCCAAAAUGGUUCCAAAACAAUUUUGAAAAACAUCAGUGUUGGAGGACUUACACUACCUGAUUGUAAAAAUUACUAAACUGCUAUAUUAAACCCACAGCUCGACAACCUGAGUACAAUGUCCAAAAAUAAGCCCAGUCAAAACGGUCAGCUGAGCCAGGCUUGUUACCUGCAUUUACCAAAAAAAAGUACAGAAAAGGAAUCAAGAUACAUCUAUUAUGUGCAGUGCACUUCCUGAUGUCAGAAAAUAGUCAAACUUAGCACAAGAUCAUCUGUGGAACAAAGCACCUGUUGUAAGCAUGAAGCAAUCUUCUUGGAGCAGCUUGAAAUCAGCUGAAUGUCGUGGCCAGCUUUGGCCUCUUCCAGCCUCACCAGCCUGUCUUUAACAGCUGUCUGGAGCUCCUGUCACUUUUCCUGCAGGGUGUAGUAUCGCUCCUGCCCUGGGCCUGCCAGGAGCCUUUGAGUUGUUGAGCAAAGGAUGAAAAAGUGGAAA